UAACAAGGGCUUAACAGCAAUGCUCUUUGCUAUGAUGCAAUAGCUAUUUGGUUGUUUUAUGUUCUACUCCUUUAUUUGGAUGAAGAAAACCUACUCUGUGCUACUUACUAAGACUGUAUGCAAUCUGUUUGGAGACAAUUGGUUUGAGGAGGAGCUGAUUUUGGAUGGGCCAUGCCCAAAUUUGGACAGAUGGAGGGAUGAGACCCCGGAGGUGAUCAAUCUGUGUUUCCUCAAUCAGAUCUGA
rnacentral:lncRNA from 11 species